rnacentral:rRNA from 1 species
GAGUUUGAUCCUGGCUCAGAACGAACGCUGGCGGCAUGCCUAACACAUGCAAGUCGAACGAGACCUUCGGGUCUAGUGGCGCACGGGUGCGUAACGCGUGGGAAUCUGCCCCUUGGUUCGGAAUAACAGUGGGAAACUACUGCUAAUACCGGAUGACGACGUAAGUCCAAAGAUUUAUCGCCGAGGGAUGAGCCCGCGUAGGAUUAGCUUGUUGGUGAGGUAAUGGCUCACCAAGGCGACGAUCCUUAGCUGGUCUGAGAGGAUGAUCAGCCACACUGGGACUGAGACACGGCCCAGACUCCUACGGGAGGCAGCAGUGGGGAAUAUUGGACAAUGGGCGCAAGCCUGAUCCAGCAAUGCCGCGUGAGCGAUGAAGGCCUUAGGGUUGUAAAGCUCUUUUACCAGGGAUGAUAAUGACAGUACCUGGAGAAUAAGCUCCGGCUAACUCCGUGCCAGCAGCCGCGGUAAUACG